GCUAUUUCUGAUAUGUAAAAACGUCUGACAUCUCGAUGCCCAGAACCGAACGGCGCGGGCUGUUACUGCACAUUUUACACCGUGUCAGCGUGUAAGUUUAACGUGUCAGCAAGCCGCGUCAGUAUCCAUUAUUUAAAUAAUUUAGCACUUAAUUAAAACCUGGUUCUUUCCACUUUCAUUUACAUCCUGAUUUUACUAUCACUUUGGCAACGACUGUGCGUGAAUUCCUGAAUACCUGAAUACGUUUGGAUGAAAUUCUUC